AUGUUGUCUUGUUCUUUUUCUGAAGUAGUACUGCUUUAUCCAAGCCUGGAUCUCCUCUAUACUGUAGUCCUGCCAUGCAAUCUGAUCCUGACACAAAACAUUACUCUGUCUAACCCAUGUUUGAUUUAUAACAUAGUAAUAUUGUGUAGCUUGAUUAUUUGUAAAAUGGCGGCAAAUGCUGCUGCAAAGAUAUUAGUGGUAUAUGUGCAUGCAUUUGACAAUAUGAUAUCACAUGUGUGUUUGAACAUUAACCAUAUAGAUUAUGGUACUGUUAAUUUUGUGCACUUGAAUGAGUGCUUGGUGUUGAUAUUUUCUUAA
rnacentral:rRNA from 1 species